rnacentral:rRNA from 1 species
CAGCAGCCGCGGUAAUACGUAGGUGGCAAGCGUUGUCCGGAAUUAUUGGGCGUAAAGGGCUCGCAGGCGGUUUCUUAAGUCUGAUGUGAAAGCCCCCGGCUCAACCGGGGAGGGUCAUUGGAAACUGGGAAACUUGAGUGCAGAAGAGGAGAGUGGAAUUCCACGUGUAGCGGUGAAAUGCGUAGAGAUGUGGAGGAACACCAGUGGCGAAGGCGACUCUCUGGUCUGUAACUGAUGCUGAGGAGCGAAAGCGUGGGGAGCGAACAGGAUUAGAUACCCCUGUAGUCCCUGUCUCUUAUAA